GCUUCACAUUCCCCAUAUUAAGUCUAAAUAGUGGUUAAAGCCAAGUAUGUGACUAUGAGCUGAACCAAUUUCCUCCAACUCCAAGGGCUGGAAUUUAGAAUUUUGACAUGCCACAAACUUGUGCAUUUUAAGAGGUUUGCAACUAACCCAUGGACCCUUGAGAUGCAAAGUUUGGAAUAUUCAAAGACCACAUGCCAUGUGCUUAUCCAAAAUAGCUUUAUUCCAUUUCACCGCCCAAACCCCACUUCUUUCACUGUCUUGGUCAAUUUUAAAAAUGGUAGUGGCAUUGGUAGAUAUGAAUCUAAGUAUUCUGAUAUGAGGUCGGCGGAUAAGAUGUUCGACGGAAUGCCACAUAGAAACCCUGCUUCUUGGGAUUCUUUGAUAGUGGGGUUAUUGCUAAACAAGUCUAUGAAGGGGGCAAUUGGGUUGCUAUUUUUCAUUGAUGGAUUAGGGCACUUUGAUUCACUGUCAGAUUAUAGAGACUGGAUUUGGGAUGAAUGUGUGUGCUGCAAGCUCAUUGACAACAACGUAUGCUAUUGUGGUCGAUUGGGCUUCCAUGAGUACACAAUAUGAACCUUGGGCUUGCAGGAAUUUAUAUGGGGUUUCAAGUUGGGUUUUGAAGCUGCAGACAUGCUUUUUGAAAUUGUACCCGAUAAUCUGGGAAACUAUGUGCUGCUGUGUAACAUGUUUGCGUGUAAUAGGAUGUUGGAGGAAGCUAAUGAGUUGUGAUUAAUGAUGGUCAAUGGGGGUAAGAGAGGAGUUUGGGUGUAGCUGAUUGAUGUUAAGAACGGUACCUUUGUUUCUACCGUGCACGACAGAUCACAUGUAGGUCUAAUGAGAUUUUUGACAUGUUGGGGAAGUUGGAGGCAUUUAUAAAUAGGGGAUAUGUGACUGAAACCCAAUAUGUAAUUAACUAGAAGCCUACAUUGGUAUAACAUUGGAAAAAUAGCUCUUGCAUUUGGCUACUCACUGAUCUGGUUGGGCACCAAUAAGGGUAAAGUACUUAGAGGACAGGUGGUGUUUGUCAUACAGUUUGAAGUUUGCUUUGGGGAAUUAAUUGUUGGAAUAGAGAUCAUUGUGAGGGAUAUCAAUCAGUUUCACCCACUCAUUGAUGGUUUGUGCUUAUGCAGAGAACUGGGAUUCACAUAAUGUUGGAUGUUUUAACACCCCUACUCACAUGGCUAGGAUGGCUGGGGAGCGGUCACGUGGGAUUGCCAGAAGUAGGCACAUGGGUAGAGACCAAGGAAUCCCACGCUAAAAAGAAUUUCAGAGCAAGAACAGUGUUAGAUCAAAAAGGAAUUUGGGGAUUUUGGUCUAGAUAUAGUUGCCGGGCAGUUAAAAGCAGUCCUGUACAUGUGGAAGUGUCAAAAAAGUGAAGUGGCCAAGGAUGUGACACAUUCCAGAGAAGAUGAUUGGAGAGGAUGGAGGCAAUUUCACUCCCAUUAUGCAGGCGUCUAGAGCAGUUACAGACUGGAUAUGCAUGACGCGUAAAGAAGACACUUAGUUGAAGGAAGAACAAACACCUAUCCCGCAACCACCGUCCAAUUAACCUUCCCAGCUCAACUAAACAGAUGAAGACCUUUUUAGAGAAAGAUGGUCCACACAUCACAUAAAUUUCCUUUUCAGCAAUGUAUCCUUGGUUCCUUAACUUUUAUCUACUCUAACCAAUUGUAGCAUAGUUCCUUAGUUUAGCCAGUAGUUUAGUCAGUGGCACAAUGCACACUGUAUACACACAUUGAUCUUUAUGCUCAAGUAUUCUCAUGCUAUGAAUGAGAAUACUAUAAACGAGACUACGAUUCAGGUUAUUUUCCUAUUGACAUAUUGUUUAAUGUGCUUUGUUAAUACCAAUUCAUUCAUUCUUCCCUAUUUUGCAUCGAUUCUUCUAGAGGAGUCUUCGAGCUUUUUAAUCCUGACCAAGAGUUCUUGUUCUCAAGGCAGAUACAACAUGAAGGAAAUGGUUACCUUACUCCGUAAUAGUCCCCUAUAGGAGUAUAAGUUUGGCAUGACGCACCUCACCAAGUCCGGGUGGAUCUGGAACACCCAUGCAUAUCUCAGAUGACUGAGUUUCUGCCAAAACAAAAGCCCUUCCCUUUUGUUUCUUUUCCUCUUCUGUUUUUGCUAACAUUUUUUUUAAAUAUAGAAUAAUUUCACUCUCCGCAGUCAUUUCUUGUUUGCACGUUCUUUGCCUGUUUGUAACAUGAUCACAUGUUACUUCUCUAACUAUAUCAAAUCCUUUUUUAAAAAAAAAAAAAUAGAAAAAGAAAAAAAGAAGCUCCAUUUUUCAUUGAUUUUGGUUGGUCAUUCUAACAUUUCCUUGUUACAAACUUUUACUCACUUGUGCAACACAAUUCAUUCAAACAUUAUGCUAUCUAAACGUGCUCAUUUGUUAAGGGAGACAUUUUUAUUUCCUUUCUUCACUCCAUUUAUUUAUUUAUUUUUCCUUCUUUCCUCUGGGUGCUCACAGAGUUUGUUGGAGGUUGGUGCACAAGAGAAGUUUCAGAUGAAGUUAUGGUCAGACAGAGAGAAUAAAGCAUAAUAAACCAAUUGCAAUGGGAACUCCCAAAAUUAUUCAUGUAUGAGGCAUGAGUUUGGAUAACUUGUUGUGACAUUUUUUAGUGUAUGCAUGGUGUAAAACCAACAGAACAUCCGAUCUCUGAAUCAAAGAUGCUCGUGUAUUGGAAUUACUUUGCUGCAGCAGUGGAAUAGAGAAGGCACGUGAUACAUAAGCAGAAAAGCCUGUGACAAGCCUUUGGCAGUGAAAUGAUAAGUGCAUCCAUUUCUUUGAGAUGAAGAGUUUUCUACUAGGGAACUAUUUCCUACUGAGAGCCCAUUGAUGAAGGUGAUCAACUACCUACUUAUUCUGCAUAUAUUCAACUAGACAUGCUUGCAUAUGCAUGCGCUUACACACACACUGACUUCACUAGGAAAAAAAAAAAAACAGACAAAAAGACAAAAUAUUCUGUUUAUAAAUAUUUUGCAUUACUAUUUUUAGAAUUUGUUUCUAAUUUGCCAUUACAUGAAGUGAUCUAGUUGCACUGCUGCCUCACUAUCUAGCAUAUCGAAAACCAUAUCCCAUAUUCCCAUGUAAUUCGUUGCAUGUCCUUUCCUUUUGAACUAACAUGAUAUAAAUAUCUUGCACGAUCCCGAGAUGGUAAACUAAAGAGAUUUGGUAGUAUAGCAAAUACUGUGCUUCACCUUAGAGUCCAAAGAAUGGUAGUCCCUUCUAAGUCCAUCUCAUCAAGAAAACAGCCUGUUUAUACUGUACAAUGAAUUGUCAUAUGGUUGUAAUUUCUUGACAAGAAGAACAAUAUCGUGGAAGCACAGCCGAAUUUCGGUAUGCUAAAAUGAAUUGCAGUUAAGGUCAUUUGGUCAUAUAACAGCCCUGACCAGGUUACAGGCUAUAAUAUUUAAGGACCAGUGUAUGGGCAUCCCUGCUGAGAACCAGCCAAUGACACCCUCAAGAAUCAAGAUCCCCUAGGUCAUAUAUUCCUGAAAUCUAUUCCACCUAGUUCUUACUAUUUCUGUGGUCGUCUUUAUAGGAUUUCUGUCAUUCAAAUUAACUGUUUUUUUUUUUUUUCAAUCAUGAAAUUCAGCAAAUUGUUGAAGCAUUAGCAUAAUGUAUACAGAUGUUUGCUCCCCAAAAGCUCCACUUUUUAUUUGAUUGCAUCCACUUUGCACAUAGUGUCAAGAAUGCAACAUGAGUGCUAUUACCCAAAAUUCCUUUUACAUUAUUUAGACAAUAGUUAUAUUGAAGUUUGGGUUGACAAAAUAAUAUGAGUUUUCUUAUCUCUUAUCCCAACUUUAUUGCAGUAAUUCCCAUGAUACAAUAUCAUAUUAUUAUUUUUAUAAUUUUUUUUUUAAAAGUUAAAAGAUAUUUAUUUGGUGGGACUUGAAGACAGGAGAAAAGAUAAAUACAGGUAGGUUGUACUUUACAGCACCCUGGCCCUCUGCUCCUGCUCUUCUUACACAGAAAUUUAAGAUUGAUAAUCAUAAAAAAUGUGUGUCCACGUUAGAUGUUGUUAGUGAUCAUGUGCAGGUUGCAGGGAAGCAAAGACAAAUGGUCUACUGCAGAUACAGUUAGCAGCACUGAGAAGGCACUCAUUCAUGCAUGCUUGGCUCUAUUAACUAAGUAAGGUCUGCAGUGAAUAAGGCAUUUAAUUAUUUGCAAAACCAGUCCCACCAUGGGGGCUCAACUGUUCUAGUUUAUAAUAUCCUCUGCUGUUCCCAUAUCUCUGUAUCAGUCUCUGUAUUCUUUUAUAAUAUAAUGACAGUGACAUGGUUUCUUCAGGUUAA